GACGAACCGUGCGAACGUUAUCCGGAUUCACUGGGUUUAAAGGGUGCGUAGGAGGACUGGUAAGUCAGUGGUGAAAUCCCCGAGCUUAACUUGGGAACUGCCGUUGAUACUAUCAGUCUUGAAUACCGUGGAGGUGAGCGGAAUAUGUCAUGUAGCGGUGAAAUGCUUAGAUAUGACAUAGAACACCAAUUGCGAAGGCAGCUCGCUACACGAAUAUUGACUCUGAGGCACGAAAGCGUGGGGAUCAAACAGG
rnacentral:rRNA from 1 species